UACGGGGGGGGUAAGCGUUGUUCGGAAUUAUUGGGCGUAAAGAGCUCGUAGGCGGUGUGUCGCGUCGGCCGUGAAAACCUGCAGCUUAACUGUGGGCUUGCGGUCGAUACGGGCAUCACUGGAGUUCGGCAGGGGAGACUGGAAUUCCUGGUGUAGCGGUGAAAUGCGCAGAUAUCAGGAGGAACACCGGUGGCGAAGGCGGGUCUCUGGGCCGAUACUGACGCUGAGGAGCGAAAGCGUGGGGAGCGAACAGG
rnacentral:rRNA from 1 species